rnacentral:tRNA from 1 species
GGGAUCGUGGCGCAGUUGGCUAGCGCGUAGGUCUCAUAUCAUGUAUGCGAUUUAUAUCCUAAGGUCGUGAGUUCGAGCCUCACCGAUCCCA